UACGGAGGGGGCUAGCGUUGUUCGGAAUUACUGGGCGUAAAGCGCACGUAGGCGGCUUUGUAAGUUAGAGGUGAAAGCCUGGGGCUCAACUCCAGAACUGCCUUUAAGACUGCAUCGCUUGAAUCAUGGAGAGGCGGGUGGAAUUCCGAGUGUAGAGGUGAAAUUCGUAGAUAUUCGGAAGAACACCAGUGGCUAAGGCGGCUCUCUAGUACGGUACUGACGCUGAGACGCGAAAGCGUGGGGAGCGAACAGG
rnacentral:rRNA from 1 species